AUUGAACGCUGGCGGCAGGCCUAACACAUGCAAGUCGAACGGACCUUUCGGGGUUAGUGGCGGACGGGUGAGUAACACGUGGGAACGUGCCCUUUGGUUCGGAAUAGCUCCUGGAAACGGGUGGUAAUGCCGAAUGUGCCCUUCGGGGGAAAGAUUUAUCGCCAUUGGAGCGGCCCGCGUCUGAUUAGCUAGUUGGUGAGGUAAAGGCUCACCAAGGCGACGAUCAGUAGCUGGUCUGAGAGGAUGAUCAGCCACAUUGGGACUGAGACACGGCCCAAACUCCUACGGGAGGCAGCAGUGGGGAAUCUUGCGCAAUGGGCGAAAGCCUGACGCAGCCAUGCCGCGUGAAUGAUGAAGGUCUUAGGAUUGUAAAAUUCUUUCACCGGGGACGAUAAUGACGGUACCCGGAGAAGAAGCCCCGGCUAACUUCGUGCCAGCCGCCGCGGUAAGAC
rnacentral:rRNA from 1 species